rnacentral:rRNA from 1 species
CGCUCCCGGGUCUUGUACCACACCGCCCGUCACACCAUGGGAGCGGGUUUUACCAGAAGUAGGUAGCUUAACCGUAAGGAGGGCGGCUUACCACCGGUAGGAUUCGUGACUGGGGUG